GGGGAUAUAGCUCAGUGGCAGAGCAUGUGCUCAGCAAGUAUGAGGUCCUGGGUUCCAUCCCCAGCACUUCCA
rnacentral:tRNA from 1 species